GAUGAAGAACGCAGCGAAAUGCGAUAAGUAAUGUGAAUUGCAGAAUUCAGUGAAUCAUCGAAUCUUUGAACGCGCAUUGCGCCCGCCAGUAUUCUGGCGGGCAUGCCUGUUCGAGCGUCAUUUCAACCCUCAGGGCCCUUUUGGACCUGGCGUUGGGGCUCGGCCGCUACCCUGCGGCCGUCCCCGAAAGAUAGUGGCGGUCUCGCUGUAGCCUCCUCUGCGUAGUAGUUACAUCUCGCACUGGAACGCGGCGCGGCCAUGCCGUUAAACACCCCACUUCUCAAGGUUGACCUCGGAUCAGGUAGGAAUACCCGCUGAACUUAAGCAUAUCAAUAAGCGGAGGA
rnacentral:misc_RNA from 1 species